UGGGGAAUAUUGCACAAUGGGCGCAAGCCUGAUGCAGCCAUGCCGCGUGUGUGAAGAAGGCCUUCGGGUUGUAAAGCACUUUCAGCGGGGAGGAAGGCGAUAAGGUUAAUAACCUCAUCGAUUGACGUUACCCGCAGAAGAAGCACCGGCUAACUCCGUGCCAGCAGCCGCGGUAAUACGGAGGGUGCAAGCGUUAAUCGGAAUUACUGGGCGUAAAGCGCACGCAGGCGGUCUGUCAAGUCGGAUGUGAAAUCCCCGGGCUCAACCUGGGAACUGCAUUCGAAACUGGCAGGCUAGAGUCUCGUAGAGGGGGGUAGAAUUCCAGGUGUAGCGGUGAAAUGCGUAGAGAUCUGGAGGAAUACCGGUGGCGAAGGCGGCCCCCUGGACAAAGACUGACGCUCAGGUGCGAAAGCGUGGGGAGCAAACAGG
rnacentral:rRNA from 1 species